rnacentral:snRNA from 1 species
ACUGCUUCUUGGUCUUUUGGCUAAGAUCCAAUAUAGUAUCUGUUAUCAUCAGUUUAACAAACUGAUAUGUCCUUUAACUGAGGAGUAAGUUUAAGUGGAUUUUUGUAGCAGAGAGAUGAAAUAGAAGCUCUCUCCAUCUACUGCACACACUGACAGAUAUUGUGUACUACCUCUGAGAAAAGGGCACCCCCU